rnacentral:rRNA from 1 species
CCUACGUGUGGCAGCAGUGAGGAAUAUUGGUCAAUGGACGGAAGUCUGAACCAGCCAUGCCGCGUGCAGGAAGACGGCUCUAUGAGUUGUAAACUGCUUUUGUACAAGGGUAAACCUGAAUACGUGUAUUCAGCUGAAAGUACUGUACGAAUAAGGAUCGGCUAACUCCGUGCCCGCAGCCGCGGUAAUCCGGAGGAUCCAAGCGUUAUCCGGAUUUAUUGGGUUUAAAGGGUGCGUAGGCGGAUUGAUAAGUUAGAGGUGAAAUGUCCGAGCUUAACUCGGGAACUGCCUCUAAUACUGUUGAUCUAGAGAGUAGAUGCGGUAGGCGGAAUGUAUGGUGUAGCGGUGAAAUGCUUAGAGAUCAUACAGAACACCGAUUGCGAAGGCAGCUUACCAAUCUAUAUCUGACGUUGAGGCACGAAAGCGUGGGGAGCAAACAAGAUUAGAUACCCCAGUAGUC